GUGCCAGCCGCUGCGGCGGUAAUACGUAGGGCGCAAGCGUUGUCCGGAAUUAUUGGGCGUAAAGAGCUUGUAGGUGGCUUGUCGCGUCUGCCGUGAAAACCCGAGGCUCAACCUCGGGCGUGCGGUGGGUACGGGCAGGCUAGAGUGUGGUAGGGGAGACUGGAACUCCUGGUGUAGCGGUGAAAUGCGCAGAUAUCAGGAAGAACACCGAUGGCGAAGGCAGGUCUCUGGGCCAUUACUGACACUGAGAAGCGAAAGCAUGGGUAGCGAACAGGAUUAGAUACCCUGGUAGUCCAUGCCGUAAACGUUGGCACUAGGUGUGGGGACAUUCCACGUUUCCGCGCCGUAGCUAACGCAUUAAGUCGCCCCGCCU
rnacentral:rRNA from 1 species